AGAGUUUGAUCCUGGCUCAGGAUGAACGCUGGCGGCGUGCCUAACACAUGCAAGUCGAACGGAGCUGCUUUGAUGAAGUUUUCGGAUGGAUUUAAAGCAGCUUAGUGGCGGACGGGUGAGUAACGCGUGGGUAACCUGCCUCAUACAGGGGGAUAACAGUUGGAAACGACUGCUAAUACCGCAUAAGCGCACAGGAUUGCAUGAUCCAGUGUGAAAAACUCCGGUGGUAUGAGAUGGACCCGCGUCUGAUUAGCCAGUUGGCGGGGUAACGGCCCACCAAAGCGACGAUCAGUAGCCGACCUGAGAGGGUGACCGGCCACAUUGGGACUGAGACACGGCCCAAACUCCUACGGGAGGCAGCAGUGGGGAAUAUUGCACAAUGGGGGAAACCCUGAUGCAGCGACGCCGCGUGAGCGAAGAAGUAUUUCGGUAUGUAAAGCUCUAUCAGCAGGGAAGAAGAAUGACGGUACCUGACUAAGAAGCACCGGCUAAAUACGUGCCAGCAGCCGCGGUAAUACGUAUGGUGCAAGCGUUAUCCGGAUUUACUGGGUGUAAAGGGAGCGCAGGCGGUACGGCAAGUCUGAUGUGAAAUCCCGGGGCUCAACCCCGGUACUGCAUUGGAAACUGUCGGACUAGAGUGUCGGAGGGGUAAGUGGAAUUCCUAGUGUAGCGGUGAAAUGCGUAGAUAUUAGGAGGAACACCAGUGGCGAAGGCGGCUUACUGGACGAUUACUGACGCUGAGGCUCGAAAGCGUGGGGAGCAAACAGGAUUAGAUACCCUGGUAGUCCACGCCGUAAACGAUG
rnacentral:rRNA from 1 species